UACAGAGGUCUCAAGCGUUGUUCGGAUUCAUUGGGCGUAAAGGGUGCGUAGGCGGCGGGGCAAGUCGGAUGUGAAAUCUCAGGGCUCAACCCUGAAACUGCAUUCGAUACUGCCUUGCUCGAGGACUGGAGAGGAGAUUGGAAUUCACGGUGUAGCAGUGAAAUGCGUAGAUAUCGUGAGGAAGACCAGUGGCGAAGGCGGAUCUCUGGACAGUUCCUGACGCUGAGGCACGAAAGCGUGGGGAUCAAACAGG
rnacentral:rRNA from 1 species